UUGAAUUUCCAAAAUAUACAAAAAAUGUGGAGAUAGGUGCAAAAAAGAAAAUAACACCAAGGAAGAAAAUGAAUCUUGAACAAGGUGAAAUUGAUAGAUCUGAUCGUAAAAUGAGAAGCUAUAUUUGAAUACUAUGUGCAGUAGGUGCAAAAAACUGAUCAUAACAAAUCUACCUAUAAAGUUCCACCAUCACAUGGAAGUCAAGAAACUCAAGCCAUUCAGUUAACCACCUCAAGCAACUUAUGCCAGACAACCGAUUUAGAUCAGUUAAGUCACUUAUCAAACUUAGUACAGUCAAACACUCAAACUAGACCAUCAAUUCAAGGAAGUCAUGGAAAGGAAAAGAAAUUAAAUAUUAGGAGGGCAUAAAAAACUUUUGUAUUCCCAAGUUCUACUAUCAGAUUAAGUGUUGCAAAGAAUGAUGUUGGACCUACUAUAAGACUCAAUUCAUCUCAAACAACGAAUACUACUCUAAGAAACAAAACCACUUAGUUUAGAAAAUUAUGUUUAUGAAUGUUGUAGGAUUCUUAAUGUUGUUUGUUUAUGAAUGUUGUUGAGCAUAUUUUGUAGGUUUUUUGGAUGAUGAAUGUUGGAUCAUGUUAAGAUAUAAU
rnacentral:lncRNA from 1 species